CACUGCUUGUUCCCAGUUGUUUGGAACAAUCUGUUGACAACUAGUAACAUGCUUGAUGGCAUUAUCAGACUUGUCACAAGGUUGCUCUAACAAAUCUGAUACAGUCGUGAUAAACAAGAAUGUGACUAGGUUGACGACACAAGGUUGUAACAAUACUGCUAUAUCAUGACUGCAUCGGACUUGUUGAAACAACCUUGUAACAAGGCUGAUAAUAUCAACAAGGUUGUUACCAAUUGUUAACAGCUUGUUCCAAACUUGUUGACAACUUGUGAGAAGCAGUG